UUCUCCUAAGUUUCGCCCUCUCAUCUCUCUCUUCCUUCUCAUUUCUUUCUCUCCCCCCCCCCCAUUCACACGCCUACUCUCUCUCUCUCUUACCUCUUUCUCUUUUCCCUUUCUACCACCAUGAAUAACCAUUGUAAAAGCUUCCAAGAUCACUUCUAUACCAAGAAACUCCAUCAAAUCAAGUUCUAAACAUCUAUAUUCCUUUGAAUCAAGAGCAAGUUUUGGAGGAGUUUUCAAGCUUGAAGUUAGAGAGAAGAAUUUUUAUUUCUUUCAAAAUCCUUGAGUAAGUGAUGAAUCCUCUUAGAUCUAGACUUAUUUAUGUUGGAUAUGUGUGUAUAUGGUUAGAUCAAACUAGAAAACACCCCUAUCCCUUCUUUAAAAUUUUCGAAAAUUGUGGGUUAUGCCCUUCAAAAUUUUUAUUUUUCUUUUCUUGAAUUGAGGUUAUUUAAAUACUAUUGGGUUCCUAAUUAGUCUUUUUCCAUGUGUAGAUAAUUGAAUUAAAAAGAGAUAUGAGAUUUGAAAUAGUUUAGUUUGUGUAAAUUUGGGAAGUUUUGUAUUUGAGGCUUGAUUGAUGAAUUGAUGGAUGAUAUAUGCUAUUGAGAGUGUUUAUAUGAGAUUUGAUGGAUUGGAUUGAUGGUUGAAAUUGAUUAGUAAUUUUUGAUAUGAGUUAGUUUGAUGUAAUUUGGGUAAAAUUGAUUCUAUGGUUUAAUUUACUAAUCGAUUGUUUAUUUAUGCUAUUAAGUGUGUCAAUUUGAUAGAUCUAAGUUUGGGUUAAUGAUUUAUGCAUGUUUACAAAUUUUCAAAAAGUUUAGUUUGUUAAAAAUUGGGACUUUGUGAUCUAUGUGUUAAUUGAUUAAAUUGGCUAAGGUUAAUUGUUAUUAAGCAUGAUAGAAAUGAUAAUUAGGGAUCAAUUUGGUUAUUGUCAAGAAAGCCUAAAAUUGGUUAAGUUUAGUUUACUAAUAAUUGGGAACUUUUGAUUAACAAGAUAAAUACUUGAAUUGAUGAUUAUUAUAUGUUAGUUAGACUACUAGCAAGGAGAAAUCAUGAUUAAUUUAGUUAAUGAUGUUGAUUUGUGAAAAUUUCUCGAGUUUAGUUUGCGUGCAUACAUGAGAUCUUGUAUAUAAGAUGAGUUAUGAGCCAAGCAUGUCUAUAUGUGGCUAAUUGAUGAUAAGUUGAGCUUAUAUAUGCGAUAUGAGACGAGUUUAUGUUAUUGUGUAUGAUGUGAGCUUAAUUUGAAUUUUUGAGAAUUUUUCAUCGAAGAAGUCCGGAGUUUAGGUAUAAUUGCUUUUAUGUUCAAGUUUGGAGUUAUUUUAUGACCUUUUCUACCUAAUGUUUCGUUGGGUUCUUGAUAUCCAAAGACCCUAAAAAUUUUAUGGUAAUAUUAUACGCGAGUCUUGAGAAUACUGGUAAAAUUUUACGUGAAUUGGACUUCGGUUACUAUUUUUAUAAAAUCGAAAACUAAAACUGCUACUUUCUGCCGAAAUGUUCGGUGAGUAGCCAAUAGAGUAACCUUUUCCAGAAUCUCUCCCUAACGUUUUGGAUCCCAAAUUUUUAUUGUUAAGAAAUGAUUGUCGUAGCUAAGUACACAGAAAAUUUUAAGCCUUUUCGGCAACGUUUACUAUUAUUCAAAAAUCAAGGUUUUCAAUUGCUCAAAACUGCCGAAUAUGGUAGACUGUAGGAAAACAGUCAUAUCUCCUAAACUACUUGGCGUUUUUCAUCCUACUUUUUUUGAAUGAAACUAGACUCAAGGAGGUUUCAAUUGGUAUAGGUCACGACUCCAGUGGAGUUCUGUACCGAGUCUGGUGAAGUCUUUAAAUCGAGUCAGUGCAGAAUGAUGUUUGUUUGUGACUAUGUGAUUAUGCUUGUUUAUGUGCUUGAUUGCUAUGAGUUUAACCCGAGUUGAGUGUUAAGUCGAGAGAGUAGGACUUGUGAAUCCUUAGGAGUUAAGUAUACCUAGGGAUUGAGAUUUAUUUGGGUAAAUAGAAGAUGAGUGAUAAGUUAUAUCUUGAGACGAGAUUGGAUUUUAGUAAUUGGGUUUCUAACUGAGGUUUAUCUUAUCUCAUGAACCACUCACGUUGUGACAUCUGAAGAUACGAGCAGAGGACGGAGGUAAUAUCGCCCAAGUAUUACGAGAGUAAGCUAAGUUUGUCAAGUGGGCAUUAUUUUGAUAUACCUAUUAUACGAGCUUUCUUAAAUGAUAUGAUACUUAUGAUUAUGAAUUGAGUUAAUGUUACGCUUGAAUCAAAUUGACUUGCCGAGUUUUGUUAAUAAUGACUUGUGUGUUACCCUCUAUUGAUGAGACGAAUUCGGUCCUGCCACAAGCGGAAUUUUGUGCACAGAGGUGACUGUGAGCCGUCUAUCGGGUCGGUCGGUCGAUGGUACUUGAGUAGGGAGGCCUACUUCUCAGUACCUUUGAUGAUGAGUAGUGGAUGUUUAUGAUUUGCGAAAUUGCAUGCACAGGUUCUUCUCUAACUAAAACCCCUGUGUGUUGCUUAAUGUGGCAAGUUCAAUUUAUAGCUCUAAGAGCAAACUUUCAUUUUGUUUUUCGGCAUAUGUCCACUGAGUACUUUGUACUCAGCCCUGCAUGUAUUUCUAAAUGUGCAGGAUAAGCGAGGAUGGAGAAUGGUCUGGUGCUGGCGAGGAUUUUGUUCCGAUGUUAUUCUUUUACCGUAU
rnacentral:lncRNA from 1 species